rnacentral:rRNA from 1 species
AUACGGAGGGUGCGAGCGUUAAUCGGAAUUACUGGGCGUAAAGCGUGCGUAGGCGGUUUGCUAAGUCAGAUGUGAAAGCCCCGGGCUUAACCUGGGAACUGCAUUUGAUACUGGCAGACUAGAGUAUGAUAGAGGGGGGUAGAAUUCCUGGUGUAGCAGUGAAAUGCGUAGAUAUCAGGAGGAAUACCAGUGGCGAAGGCGGCCCCCUGGAUCAAUACUGACGCUGAGGUACGAAAGCGUGGGGAGCGAACAGGAGUAGAUACCCUAGUAGUCC